rnacentral:rRNA from 1 species
GUGCCAGCCGCCGCGGUAAGACGAACCGUGCGAACGUUGUUCGGAAUCACUGGGCUUAAAGGGCGCGUAGGCGGUCGGGCAAGUCCGGGGUGAAAUCCUGCAGCUUAACUGUAGAAGUGCCUUGGAUACUGCCCGGCUCGAGGGAGGUAGGGGUCUGUGGAACUUCUGGUGGAGCGGUGAAAUGCGUUGAUAUCAGAAGGAACGCCGGUGGCGAAAGCGACAGACUGGACCUUUUCUAACGCUGAGGCGCGAAAGCUAGGGGAGCAAACGGGAUUAGAUACCCGCGUAGUCC